rnacentral:misc_RNA from 1 species
AAGUCGUAACAAGGUUUCCGUAGGUGAACCUGCGGGCCCUGUGAACAUUCAUCUUGUAAAAAAGCAGCAAUCCCUGGUAAAUCAUUGUCGACCAGAUUUUGAGUCAGGGACCUCUGCCAAUGAGAGUUACGCUCGUAGCGACGCAAGCGACCUGGCACCCCAAGCAAUCAGAGUUCUGAAAGCGUCUUUGAUUGUCGCAAACACGAUCGUUGGAGGCCGACACGGCCGACGAGGGUCACCAUGCCCCUUAAGCACCACACUGUAACGCCGACAGGUCGCGAUAAUUCCGCUGACCACAAAAAACCGAACAACUGUUAACAAUGGAUAUCUUCUC